rnacentral:rRNA from 1 species
GACGAACGCUGGCGGCGUGCCUAAUACAUGCAAGUCGAACGCAGUGGGGACGGGUGAGUAACACGUGGGUAACCUCCCAUCAGAGGGGAUAACACUUGGAAACAGGUGCUAAACCGAUACUGAUGGAUGGCCCCGCGGUGCAUUAGCUAGUUGGUGAGGGAACGGCUCACCACGGCCACGAUGUAUAGCCGACCUGAGCGGGUGAUCGGCCACACUGGGACUGGUACACGGCCCAGACUCCUGCGUGAGGCAGCAGUAGGGAAGCGUCGGCAAUGGACGAAAGUCUGACCGAGCAACGCCGCGUGAGUGAAGAAUGUGUUCGGAUCGUAAAACUCUGUUGUUAGAGAAGCGGGAUCUAACCAGAAAGCCACGGCUAACUACGUGCCAGCAGCCGUGGGAAUUC